rnacentral:lncRNA from 1 species
UUGACAAAUGACUCUCCUACCGCGACCAUCAUCCUCGGAGCUCCGAAACAGAGCAAAGAAGUGCAGUAACUCACGAGAACUCCUGAAACGCGUAGACCACGGGGUCGAUCUUUGGGACGACGACGGGCAGCCUCUCGAACAGCACGGACGCGACGACCUUCUCGGGCUUGGUGCAGAACCCCCGCGCCGGCCGGACCAGCGACGACGCGACCGCCGCAUCUCCGCCUUCCCCUCCCUGGAUCCAACACGACGCGAAGCGGCAUCAGAACGCAGCACGAAGAGAGAACGAACAAGAAGAAGAAAGAAGAACCCAAUAGAGCAAAACGCAUACAGACACGUCACGUCAGAGAGAGAGAGAGAGAGAGAGAGAGAGAGAGUGCCUCGCGACCUUCGCGGCGGACGCUGGAAUCCUUCGGGACGAGACGGCGGCGGCGGCGAGCUUGCUUCGGUUCAGAGGAGGGGAUGCUGCCUGCGGCUGCGGAGCGAUCUACCGGGUACCGGCAAAUGCAGGGGAAAGCGCAAGCCGUUGCUCUGAUGCUCUGCAGAGUCUUGGGCUUUUUUGGGUCGAAUUGGGCCGGGCCGAUGUUC